AAAUAAACACAAAAAAUAUCCCGAAAAGAAUCACAACAGUUUUACACAUCAAUUAGCAGUAUACAAUUGAGUCUCUCACCUUAAAAGAAAAUAAGGAUCAAAAGCAUCCCACGCUGAUUCAUCAGUAGUCUUUUUGAUCAAAUCUUGGCUGAUCAUUUUGUUGUGCAACGUAACUACUAAUAACAACAAAUUAGAGAUUAAUGGGUUUGUAAGGAAUGG
rnacentral:misc_RNA from 1 species